UAAAUUUUGACAGAAGCAAACAAAGAAUUAGAAGUAACCUAAAGUGCAAAACUACAUGAAGUCUUUCCCAGCCAAUAAAUUCACCUACUUUCUUAAAAUCAACUGCAGAGUUUUGAAUUGUCCCUUUGAUGAGGAGGACAGCCCAGGUACCAAGGCCAGGUACCAGGGUGAAUAAAGGAAGAGAAGCAACGUGGGAGAAGGAGCUGUGGCCAAGGGGGACACGCUAGGCGCGUGCCCUCAUCCAAGGACCUUCUACAGGAAUUCCAGGGCAGAAUCCAUGUGGAACUCCUGCUGUGAUUCUCCAGGGGCUCCCCGGCUCUUGGAAAGGCUUCUGUGUUCCAGGGGUCCAACAUCACUCCGUGAAAGUCUGCUCCCCACCUAGGAGCCCCCUCGAGCCACAGCAGCCUUGCCAGCUGGAGAAGGACCCGAGACGUGCAGAUGGGAGUUGUGGCAGUAGUG
rnacentral:lncRNA from 1 species